rnacentral:rRNA from 1 species
GACGAACGCUGGCGGCGUGCCUAAUACAUGCAAGUCGAGCGGAUGGAAGGAAGCUUGCUUCCUAAAGUCAGCGGCGGACGGGUGAGUAACACGUGGGCAACCUGCCCCUAAGAUCGGGAUAACUUCGGGAAACCGGAGCUAAUACCGGCUAUGAUUAUGUCUCACAUGAGCCAUAAUGGAAAGACGGUUUCGGCUGUCACUUAGGGAUGGGCCCGCGGCGCAUUAGCUAGUUGGUGAGGUAACGGCUCACCAAGGCGACGAUGCGUAGCCGACCUGAGAGGGUGAUCGGCCACACUGGGACUGAGACACGGCCCAGACUCCUACGGGAGGCAGCAGUAGGGAAUCUUCCGCAAUGGACGAAAGUCUGACGGAGCAACGCCGCGUGAGUGAAGAAGGUUUUCGGAUCGUAAAACUCUGUUGUUAGGGAAGAACAAGUACCAUAGUAACUGAUGGUACCUUGACGGUACCUAACCAGAAAGCCACGGCUAACUACGUGCCAGCCGCCGCCGUAAGAC